CCUACGGGAGGCAGCAGUAGGGAAUAUUGGACAAUGGGUGCAAGCCUGAUCCAGCCAUGCCGCGUGCAGGAAGAAGGCCUUCUGGGUUGUAAACUGCUUUUGCCAGGGGAUAAAAAGCCCGUGCGCGGGAAAUUGAAGGUACCUGGUGAAUAAGCCACGGCUAACUACGUGCCAGCAGCCGCGGUAAUACGUAGGUGGCGAGCGUUGUCCGGAUUUAUUGGGUUUAAAGGGUGCGUAGGCGGCUGUCUAAGUCAGUGCUGAAAUAUUCCGGCUUAACCGGGAGGGUGGCAUUGAUACUGGAUGGCUUGAGUAAAGUUGAGGUAGGCGGAAUUGACGGUGUAGCGGUGAAAUGCUUAGAUAUCGUCAAGAACACCGAUAGUGCAGACAGCUUACUAAGCUUUAACUGACGCUGAGGCACGAAAGUGUGGGGAUCAAACAGG
rnacentral:rRNA from 1 species